rnacentral:rRNA from 1 species
UCUGCGGCCGAUUAGGUAGUUGGUUAGGUAAUGGCUUACCAAGCCGUUGAUCGGUACGGGUUGUGAGAGCAAGAGCCCGGAGAUGGAACCUGAGACAAGGUUCCAGGCCCUACGGGGUGCAGCAGGCGCGAAACCUCCGCAAUGUGAGAAAUCGCGACGGGGGGAUCCCAAGUGCCAUUCUUAACGGGAUGGCUUUUCAUUAGUGUAAAAAGCUUUUGGAAUAAGAGCUGGGCAAGACCGGUGCCAGCCGCCGCGGUAACACCGGCAGCUCUAGUGGUAGCAACUUUUAUUGGGCCUAAAGCGUCCGUAGCCGGUUUAAUAAGUCUCUGGUGAAAUCCUGUAGCUUAACUGUGGGAAUUGCUGGAGAUACUAUUAGACUUGAGACCGGGAGAGGUUGGAGGUACUCCCAGGGUAGAGGUGAAAUUCUGUAAUCCUGGGAGGACCGCCUGUUGCGAAGGCGUCUAACUGGAACGGUUCUGACGGUGAGGGACGAAAGUUAGGGGCGCGAACCGGAUUAGAUACCCGGGUAGUCCUAACUGUAAACGAUGCGGACUUGGUGUUGGGGUGGCUUUGAGCUGCUCCAGUGCC